UGAAGAGGGAAGAGCCCAAGAUUGAAAGCUGGCGUCUUCGGCGUCCGCAUUGUAAUCUCAAGAAGUGUUUUCCGCUUCGGACCAAGCCUAAGUCCCUUGGAAAAGGGCAUCAUAGAGGGUGAUAAUCCCGUACAUGGCUUGGAGCGCCCGAGGCUUUGUGAUACGCUUUCUAAGAGUCGAGUUGUUUGGGAAUGCAGCUCAAAAUGGGUGGUAAAUGCCAUCUAAGGCUAAAUAUUGGGGAGAGACCGAUAGCGAACAAGUACAGUGAUGGAAAGAUGAAAAGAACUUUGAAAAGAGAGUUAAACAGUACGUGAAAUUGCCAAAAGGGAAGGGUAGGAGGUCAGAGAUGCGGUCUGGGAUUCAGCCUUGCUUUUGCUUGGUGUUUUUCCCAGAUGGCAGGCCAACGCCGGUUUUGGGCACUGGAGAAGGGUAGGAGGAACGUGGCACCUCUCGGGGUGUGUUAUAGCCUCCUACUGGAUACAGCGACCGAGACCGAGGAACGCAGCGUACUCGCAAGAGCGGGCCCUCGGGCACCUUUACGCUUAGGGCGUUGGCAUAAUGGCCCUCUACCACCCGUCUUGAAACACGGACCAAGGAGUCUAACAUGUAUGCGAGUCUUUGGGUGGCAAACCCAUAGGSGCAAUGAAAGUGAAUUCAGGUGGGAUCCGCAAGGUGCACCAUCGACCGAUCCUCACGUCUUUUAAGUCGUGGAUUUGAGUAAGAGCAUCCCUGUUGGGACCCGAAAGAUGGUGAACUAUGCCUGAAUAGGGUGAAGCCAGAGAAACUCUGGUGGAGGCUCGUAGCGGUUCUGACGUGCAAAUCGAUCGUCAAAUUUGGGUAUAGGGGCGAAAGACUAAUCGACCCAUUAUAGAAAUGAUAUUGCUAGGUGGUUAAGAGGUGGCAUGAAAGUGCGCACCUAGUGAACGCUGAAGUUCGCGACACUGUCAAAAUGCGGGGACACCCUAAAGCUUUCAAUACCAAGCCGGCGUGGAAACACAGCCGGUGGCCGAGCUAAUAGCCCUGGGUAUGGUAAAAACUUGAAAGAUGUAACAAUGGGCAAUCCGCAGCCAAGCUCUAAGGGUUUCCGAGAGGAGAUCUAUGAGUGCAGUUCACAGACUAGAUGGCAGUGGGUUCCUCCUCGAAAGAGAGAGAAGAGGGGCUUAAGAUAUAGUCGGUCCUUCCGCGAAAGCGGACCGGGGGAUGAAAGAUGGAGAUCCUUCAGCGAUAGAUCUCUUUCCGGAGCCUCUGGGAGUCGUGCGUGCCUGUGUGUGCGGGCGACUUUGGGUGCUACGCUAGUAGCUGGUUCCUGCCGAAGUUUCCCUCAGGAUAGCAGAAACUCACAUCAGUUUUAUGAGGUAAAGCGAAUGAUUAGAGGCCUUGGGGAAGUAACUUCCUUAACCUAUUCUCAAACUUUAAAUGUGUAAGAAGCCAUUGUUACUUAAGUGAACGAGGGCAUGCGAAUGAGAGUUUCUAGUGGGCCAUUUUUGGUAAGCAGAACUGGCGAUGCGGGAUGAACCGAACGUUGGGUUAAGGUGCCAAAGUAUACGCUCAUCAGAUACCAGAAAAGGUGUUAUUUAGUCUAGACAGUGGGACGGUGGCCAUGGAAGUCGGAAACCGCUAAGGAGUGUGUAACAACUCACCCACCGAAUUAAGUAGCCCUGAAAAUGGAUGGCGCUCAAGCGUAUCACCGAUACCCAACCGUCAGUGUUUAGCGAAGCGCUGACGAGUAGGCAGGCGUGGGGGUUCGU
rnacentral:rRNA from 1 species